CAUUUUGAAAGCAAAUUUGGGGAUUGUGGAAUCUAAAUCGUUCGGACCGACCAAUUUGUGUUUUCGCUGAGUUUUCACUGACAGUUCACAAAUUUAUUUAUUUGUUUACAUUUGGACAAAGAGAAUGAAUGCUGAGAAAAAGAUGUUAAUUGCGAAAGCAUUGGCUUUGAGAAGCCAAAUAAAUAUCCUGGUCAUCGACAGUUCUUCAAGAGAACUAUUGGAAUGUCUGACUACUCAGCACCGUGCCUUGGAAAAAAGGAUAGCUGAGUUAAAGACACAACAUGUAAUCGUAUUAGAUUUAAUAAAGGACCUUGGGAUGCCGAUUAAUUCGUGUUGGACAAAGCAACGUAAGAAUCAGUUUUGGGAACACGAUUGCCAAUGAAAUAGAUCUGCCUUUUUUAAAGAAAACUUUCGCAUGGACCGAAGUUCCUUUGAUAAAUUGUGUGACAUCCUCCGCCCGUUACAAAAAAAGGAUACAAAUUACCGAAAAGCUAUUCCCAUCGAAAAAAGAGUGGCAAUAACAUUAUUUGCUUUAGGGUCAUCUGCAGAGUAUCGUAGUAUCGCCAACAUGUUCGGUGUAGGAAAAUCUACGGUUUGUGAAAUUUUACUGGAAUUUUGCCCCGAAAUCUGGAGAUUAUUGCAGCCAUCCUGUUUUAAAAUGCUGCCUCUGAACAGAGAAAAUAUAACCGAAUUGGUGACUGGUUUCGAGGUAAUUGGAUUCCCACAAUGCUUAGGAGCAAUUGACGGAUGCCAUAUUGAGAUUCAUCCAUCAUCUGGAGAAGCUGUGGAUUAUUAUAAUUAUAAAGGGUGGUAUUCC